UCCAGGGUGUAAAAAAUUCACAAAAUUGUCUUUUAUCAUAAGAUUAUUUCAUAUGAAGUGUCUUAAUGGAUGGAGCAAUAAGUCCUUUACAAUGUUGCUUGAAUUGUUGAAGGAGGCAUUUCCUGAGGGUGAGACAUUGCCAAGCAACUAUUAUGAAGCUAAAAAAAUACUUCGUGACCUUGGCCUUCAUUAUAUCAAGAUUGAUGCAUGCCCCUCAGAUUGCAUGUUGUAUUCAAAAGAGCAUGCAAAUGCAAAUGAGUGUGUUGUUUGUGGUGUCUCUAGAUGGAAAUCAAGUGAUGAUCAUUCUACAGAUGAGUUCACUAAUUCAGCAAAGAAAAAGAAAAUUCCUGCUAAGGUCUUACGUUUUUUUCCCUUAAAACCAAGGCUUCAAAGGUUAUAUAUGUCAGCUAAGACAGCUUCUCACAUGAAAUGGCAUGUUGAUGGUCGCAUGGAAGAUGAGAUGAUGAGGCAUCCAGCAGACUCUUUGGCUUGGAAAAACUUCGAUAACGUACACCCUUCAUUUGCAUUAGAACCUCGAAAUGUUAGGCUCGGUUUAGCAAGUGAUGGGUUCAAUCCUUUUGGGAAUAUGUCAAUUUCAUACAGUAUGUGGCCUGUGGUUCUUAUUCCAUAUAACUUACCACCAUGGAUGUGUAUGAAACAAACAUUCUUCAUGUUGUCACUACUUAUUCCUGGUCCAAUUGCACCUGGGAAUGACAUUGACAUAUACUUACAACCAUUGAUAGAUGAGUUGAAUGACUUAUGGGACGUUGGAGUUGAAACAUAUGACGCUUCAACAAAAAAAAAUUUUUGUAUGCGUGCAGCUAUAUUGGGGACUAUCAAUGAUUUUCCUGCAUAUGCAAAUCUUUCAGGUUGGAGUACUAAAGGGAAAUUUGCUUGUCCUAUUUGUAAUAAGGAUUGUUCUUCAUUUCGAUUACAAAACGGACGGAAAUGGUGUUACAUGGGUCAUCGUCGAUUUUUGCCGAUUGAUCAUAGAUUUCGACGUGAUAAAAAGUCCUUUGAUGGAAAUGAAGAGCAUAGAGCAGCACCUAAACAAUUGUCUGGGGAAGAUAUUCUACAUCAAUUAGAUGGAAUGGAACAUAUUACUUUAGGGAAGACAUCAAAAAAUAAGGUGUCAGCAAAAAGAAAAAGAGGACAUGUUGAACUUGAGCAUAAUUGGAAAAAAAAAAGCAUUUUUUUCCAAUUGCCAUAUUGGAAAACCCUCAUUUUGCGUCAUAAUUUGGAUGUAAUGCAUAUUGAAAAGAAUAUAUGUGACAGUAUAGUUGGCACCUUGUUGACUAUCGAUGGUAAAUCGAAGGAUAACUUCAAUAGUCGUCUUGACUUGCAAGUUAUGGGUAUCAGAGAUCAACUUCACCCCAUACAAAGAGGGAAUAGAGUUAUAUUGCCUGCUGCAUGCUAUUCACUAACUUCAAAUGAAAAAAAGGAAUUCUGUAAAUUUUUGAAAGAAGUAAAGGUUCCAGAUGGUUAUGCUUCUAACAUCUCUCGGUGUGUACAAGUGAAUGAAAGAAAGAUAUUUGGGUUGAAGUCUCAUGAUUGUCAUGUUCUCAUGUAACAACUUCUUCCACUUGCAAUUCGAGGAGUUCUACAUAAGAAUGUUUGUGCUGUUAUAGUUGAACUAUGUAGUUUCUUCAAACAGUUGUGUUCUAAAGUGUUAAAGACUGAUCAAUUAGAGCACCUUGAGAAUGACAUAAUAGUCACACUUUGCAAAUUAGAAAGAAUAUUUCCUCCAUCAUUCUUUGAUGUUAUGGUGCAUUUACCUAUUCAUCUUGCAAGUGAGGCAAAGGUCGCUGGACUAGUGCAAUAUCGAUGGAUGUAUCCUAUCGAGCGGUAUGUUCUCAUUCAAUUAAUCUUAUGUAUAUUAGGUUUCGUAUAGUUCAUGAAACAAAUCUAUCAUGUUGUGGAAUGACAGGUAUUUACAUACAUUAAAGUCUUAUGUCCGUAAUAAGAGUCGUCCAGAAGGUUCUAUUGCAGAGGGCUACAUAGCAGAAGAAUGUACAACCUUUUGUUCAAGAUAUUUGCAUGAUGUUGAAACAAAGCAUGACCGUGAAGAAAGAAAUUAUGUCAUUGAAAAUAACAUAACAAAUGGUGGAGGGUUAACCAUUUUCAAAUGCAUGGGACGUACAAUAGGAAAGUCAACAUCUCGUGUUCUUAGCACAGAAGAAUGGUCCCAAGCACAUUUAUAUGUGUUGACUAAUUGUGAGGAAGUGACGUCAUUUAUUGAAGAGCAUAAGCAAUCUAUAAGGGUUAAGCCUCGUAUUCGUGCACGAGAUGUAGAUUUGAUUCACACAAGAGAAUUCAUUAGUUGGUUUGAAGAACGUAUUAUACAAAUGCGACAUGAAGGUCCAAUUUCUGAACACAUACUAUCAUUGUCUCGUGGACCAAGUACAUCAGUUAUAUGUUAUAGAGGAUACAUCAUUAAUGGGUUCAGAUUUCACACAAGAGAACGAGAAAAAGGAAAAAAAACUCAAAAUAGUGGAGUUGUUGUGACCGCGGAGGUAUCAAGCUUUGCAACUGCAAGAGAUAAGAACCCAAUUCCUGGUCAUGUUUCUUACUAUGGUGUGCUAACUGAUGUAAUUGAGUUACAUUACCUUGGUGGAAAUAGAGUUAUUUUAUUCAAGUGUGACUGGUGGGAUGUAAUCAAUAGUAGAAGGGGAAUAAAGAAGGAUGAAUAUGGGUUCACGUGUUUGAAUUUUGAACGUACCAUAUGCACAGAUGAACCAUUUGUGCUUGCAUCUCAAGCAAAACAAGUCUUCUAUGUUCAAAAUUCAAAUGAGGAAAAUUGGCACACCGUUGUAGAGAUACAAACUCGAGGGGUUUAUGAUAUGAAUCAGAAAGUAUCUACUAAUGAUCCAGAGCCAUAUCAACAGCUUAUAACACUUCAUAAUCAACGUGAUGUGCAUGAGUUGGUCAAGAAUGAUUUAAUCAAUUGGGAUAGAAAUGAUAUUGCAGGAGAAACUAUCCAAACGGAUGUUCUACUAUCACGACAAGAAAACAUUGUUGAAAGAGAUAAUGAAUUCAUUCAUGAUGAUGAUAUAGAUGAUGUGUAGCUAAUAAUAUUGGAAAUGUCACAUCGAAGAGGAAGAGUACAAAUAGUGUCUCCAGAAGAUGAGUUGAACAAUCUACAACAACUCUUAGACAUACAACCUGCUGCAACUACUACUCCUAGUAGUUCUGAUCCUUCUGAUUCUUCAGAUCCUUCUGUUGCUGGUUCAUCUUCUAGCAAAAAGAGGACACGUGGCCCAACACGUAACUUAGAUUUACUUAGUAUGAAACCCGGGGAAAAAAAAACUACACGAUUCAAUACGAGAGGGCAAGUUGUUUAUGAUGGAAAAGGGGAAAGAUUAUCAAGCUAUAUGGGAACAUUGGUGCGAUCUCAACACAAUGUACCCAUCCAAGUUCAAGAUUGGAAUCAUGUUAGUGAAGAUGUGAAGGAAAAGAUUUGGGCCUUAGUAUUGGAAAAAUAUGAACUAGAAGAAACAUGUAAGAGCUACAUUCUUCAAUGUUGUGGAAAUUUGUUUAGAAGCUAUAGAAAUAAAAUGAAGACCAAGUAUUAUAACCCUUAUAAUACAGAUGAGGAGAGAUUGUGCCAUCGACCUCCACACUUAUCGGAUGAUGAUUGGAGGUGGCUCAUCCACUUUUGGAGUACACCUGAGGCCAAGGAUAUCUCAGAAAAAAAACAAGGCAAAUAGGGCAAAGCAAGUGAUAAAGCAUACAUCGGGAUCAAAAAGUUAUGCUCAAAUUCGAUAUGAACAGGCACAAAAGAAAGAGGAUCGAAGUGAGCCUAAUAGAAUUGAGAUGUUUGCCUUGACACACACAAGAAAAGAUGGGACACCUGUUGAUGAUCAUUCUAAGGAGAUUAUGGAUCAAUUUCAGCAAUUACUAUCCCAACCUGAAGGGACAUCUUCUUCUACUUCUGCAUCAUCUGGAGCAUCUACAUCUGUAUCAUCUACAUCUGUAGCAUCUACAUAUGUAGAUGAGAUAUAUACUCGAGUCAUGGGUCCAGAGAGACAUGGUCGUGUUCGAGGGUAUGGAUUUGGUCCUACUCCUACCUUAGUCUUUGGUUCUACUAGUAGAAGGCGAUCAGGAGCUAUUCUUUCAACACAACUUGAAAAUGCCCAAGAGAUGCUAAUGGCUGCAGAACAAAAGUUUACAACUGCAACUGAAGAACUCUCCAAUGUGAAAGAUGAACUCUCACAUGUGAAAGAAACAUUUGAAGAAAGGUUGAUAGAAGUUCAAAAGAAGACACGAGAAGAAGUGAAAGAAGAGUUUGAAGAAAAAAUGAUGGAAGUGCAAAGAAAAAUGCAAGCACAAAUGCAAGCACAAAUUCAAGAACAGAUGAUGCAAAUGAUGCAACAAUUUCAGCAAAAGUAGUAUAAAUUUGAAGAUUUUGCUACAUCUUUAUAUGAUAGAGUAUCUUAACUUUUUUGAAGAUUAUGCUACUUAUUUAUAUGAUAGAUUCUCCUAACUUUUUUUGCUUUC